rnacentral:rRNA from 1 species
AGAGUUUGAUCAUGGCUCAGGAUGAACGCUGGCGGCGUGCCUAAUACAUGCAAGUCGAACGCACAGCGAAAGGUGCUUGCACCUUUCAAGUGAGUGGCGAACGGGUGAGUAACACGUGGACAACCUGCCUCAAGGCUGGGGAUAACAUUUGGAAACAGAUGCUAAUACCGAAUAAAACUUAGUGUCGCAUGACACAAAGUUAAAAGGCGCUUCGGCGUCACCUAGAGAUGGAUCCGCGGUGCAUUAGUUAGUUGGUGGGGUAAAGGCCUACCAAGACAAUGAUGCAUAGCCGAGUUGAGAGACUGAUCGGCCACAUUGGGACUGAGACACGGCCCAAGCUCCUACGGGAGGCUGCAGUAGGGAAUCUUCCACAAUGGGCGAAAGCCUGAUGGAGCAACGCCGCGUGUGUGAUGAAGGCUUUCGGGUCGUAAAGCACUGUUGUAUGGGAAGAACAGCUAGAAUAGGAAAUGAUUUUAGUUUGACGGUACCAUACCAGAAAGGGACGGCUAAAUACGUGCCAGCAGCCGCGGUAAUACGUAUGUCCCGAGCGUUAUCCGGAUUUAUUGGGCGUAAAGCGAGCGCAGACGGUUUAUUAAGUCUGAUGUGAAAGCCCGGAGCUCAACUCCGGAAUGGCAUUGGAAACUGGUUAACUUGAGUGCAGUAGAGGUAAGUGGAACUCCAUGUGUAGCGGUGAAAUGCGUAGAUAUAUGGAAGAACACCAGUGGCGAAGGCGGCUUACUGGAC